GACGAACCGUGCGAACGUUAUUCGGAAUCACUGGGCUUAAAGGGAGCGUAGGCGGGCUAUCAAGUCUGGGGUGAAAUCCCGCGGCUCAACCGUGGAACUGCCUCAGAUACUGACGGCCUCGAGGGAGAUAGGGGCAUGCGGAACUGUAGGUGGAGCGGUGAAAUGCGUUGAUAUCUACAGGAACUCCGGUGGCGAAAGCGGCGUGCUGGAUCUCUUCUGACGCUGAGGCUCGAAAGCUAGGGGAGCAAACGGGAUUAGAAACCCCCGUAGUCC
rnacentral:rRNA from 1 species